GCAGGAGAUUUUUUAAUGCUCUCUAGGUGAUUCUGAUGUCAGCAAAGAUGGAGAACCACUGAUGUAGUCAAUGAGAAGUAAUAGGGGUUAUUUUUCAGAACAGCGUUUUGAGUUAAUUUGAAAGGAGGGAAAAUCUCAGGGCGAAGGUUAUUGUGGUGAGGUUAUAAGCUGUGUGUUGCAAUGCGCGUGGCGGAGCUGCGCUUCCAAAGAGGCUGGCUCAGUGGGGCUGCGGUGAUGUCUCCUUCCAGGUCCCAGCAUGGAUGACCCUGUUCUUCUUGGGGCUUUUCUUCAAAGCGCUCCACCUGGUUUUGCAAAUAACUAUUACAGACCUUUCCUGCAGCAAGUCUAGGGGAGACAAGUCAAACAACGGCAGCAGAUGUUCUCCAGCCUUCGAAACCAACGAGUCUCCACACUUGUCAGCUGACGUGGCUCACAGGGUCCAGGAUUAACAGCACAGGCCUCUGUGAUUUGUCUGGUGAAGUAACACGGCAGCUCACAGAGGUUUAAUCAUUGCCCACUGGCCCCACCAAAAUAGCACAGGAGAUUAUGAAACUCCUUAUGCUUCACAGAGUGACAGCUGUGUGGCCCUCGUAGACUCCUCUCCCUCGAGAUCCACUCAGGAGGACUCUGCUGGGCUGUUCUCACAGUCUCGGCGGCUUAGCCAAGGAAGAGCUUCAUUUCUCGGGGCUGGGCUCACACUAUGUGCAUCCCGAGCCCACUUCCUAGGCCUGAGGCCUUCCUGGCAGCUCCUCCUAACUGCCGGGCUGGCUGUUCUCAGGAAGGAGCCUACAGGGACACAUCUCAGCUGCACGUUCUCACAUAUGCCCAAGGCUGCCAAGCAGCGUCCAGUGAGCUGUGUGCUGGAGGCUGUGCCCAGGCUCCCCUGCCAAGCCCCCAGGCCCUUAAUGAGGGGUGGGACCCAUGGGAGUUGUUUGCAUUAGUCCAUGGCAGCAUCCUCAGCAGCCCACCAUGAACCUUUCCUGGGCCUGAGUUAACGACCUGCUAUGGCUCCCACUUGCCUCCCAGCCAGGCCAGUGGGUUCCUUCCCAGCACCAGCCUGCUCUGCAAUUCAGACCAGGGCACACUUCAACCCAGACACUCAAAGAUGCCCUCCUGAGUCGUGGCACCCAGGUUAGCAUAUGGUCCUCUAGAAAGGGGACUGGGAAACUGCCCAGCAUGGAGUCCAAAUUCAGCUAGUAAAGAUGGGAAGACAAUUUUCUUCUGGAUCCCGCUAUUGACUUCCUUCAGCAGUUCUCAGAAAACUACAGUUGGACAGAGAAGUGCCAGUUUCUGUCUGCCUUUGGACAGAACCUGCUAUACCUCUACUAAAUGACCAUCUGGCUCCAGACCCCUCAGGGUCAGCUGAUUCCCGUAAAUCCAUGGUCUUCCAUCAGGGAGGUUCAUGGGACUCCCCAUCAGGGAGGGGGAACGGGCUCCACCGGCCGAGAUUUGAGUUCGAUGAGUCUGGGUCAGGGUUGACACACAGUUCCUCACCCCCAUAACCCAAAGCCUUGAAUUUCAUAGACAUAAAGGAAAGACAGAAGGGAACUUGAGAAAUGAUCUCAGUUGACAGAAGACAGUCUCACCCGAUAGGGGACCAUCAGCUCACGGGUUUCAGCUAAAGAUCAGCAGAGGUGACAUGCUGCAGAGCCGAAUGGAGCAAGUAAUUGGCACUUCUCCGGCCUGCUUCAUCCUCUCCUUCGCUGGAGAGACAUCACUAGAUAUCAGGAAUCACUAGGCAGGAAUCUCCUCAUAAUUAGUCCCCAGGACAGCCAAGUUCUUGCCACCUGGGGAACAAAGGCAACCCCUGGGGUCUGUCAGGUGCAACUCACGGCCAGGACCUCAGUGGGAGGCUGGCUAGAGGCAGCCACCCCAAAGCCAGAGGACUCACCCCUCCUAAAGGGAUGCUGCGCUCAGUCCUGAUGGGGACGGGGGCAGGGGAUGUGUGCGGGGACAGCCUGACCAUAGCUCAGCAGGAAGCAAGCCAUGUAUUUAUUUAUGGUGAGGACCACAUUUCACCCUCGGUUUAGCUGGCUCCAAGCGAGCAGUGCAAUCUCAGCUCUGGGAGGAAGUUUGUGGUUCGCUUU
ensembl:lncRNA